rnacentral:lncRNA from 1 species
CACUUGGCAGGCUCCUGUCACUGAAGCAAAUGAGCUCUCUGUUUUGGAGGAUUCACCAAAAUGGGACUUUUCUCUGUCAUGGCUCUCAAAUUAUUCUGAGGAGCUGGUUGUGACCCUUUCAAUGUGGGGGAAUGAAGUGGCCAAGAAAUGGAAUGGCCUGAAAAAAAAAGGUGCCUCUUGGUUACGCCAAGCAACACGGAAAUAAUUUCAGCAUGGAUUGUGCUUCACCUUUGGUUUAUCUUUUCAUAAUCUCACUAUAUUUUAACUCUGGGGUUUGCUUUGCAUUUAAUUCUUUCUACAGUCUCACUUUAUGUUAGAAGAACAGAGUGCUGGUGCUGCAUAAAGAAGAACUGCUGAGAGAAGGUCACAGAAAGCUCACCAGUUUUCAGGUGGCCCAAGGGAAGGAAAGUUGUUCCUCACACAAACGUCUCCACGAGGAGAGCUGCUCUCACCCCACAGCCUUGCUGUGUGGGGAGGACACAGCCAUGGCAGAGGUCUGGGACUUGUUCUUUUCCACAGCCCCCAGUUUACCUGGAGAAAGAGAACAGUUAUUUCAUCCUGAUGGGGCCCUGGAUAAGAGUCUGAAGAGUGAAAGCUGCAGAACUGUGAAGCAAGUUAAUUUCUCUGCCUACUGGAAUAGCAGGGAGGAGUUGAUGAUUGCCGUGCAGGUGAGACCCCUGGACACAGAAGUCACUGACAACAAAGAUUUUCAAAGUGCCUGAGGAGCCUCUAGUGACCUUUCAUAAUUGCUUUCCAAUCGGGUUAGUGAUACAUGCCUUUGUAAAAAAGGUAUGUGUUUGCAUCCCCAGAAACUGAAAUUAGCAUCAGUAUCAGGACUUUUUUUUUUUUUUCACCAGUGAGCAUAGGAGAACACCAGAGCAAAGGGAUGUGUUUUGUUAUAAUACAAAGAAAUAUUUUUGAUAGUAUAGGUGCUAUCAGAAGAUAUGCUUUUCUGCCUGUGUUUGCUUUCUGCAAAGGUAAGGAUGUUGGAUUGUUAUCACCUGUUUUUGCAGAAACAGAAGCUUGGAUUCAAGGUAGCUCUCUGCCUAACUGCCUUGCUUUGGGAACUAGAUUAACCCAAUCCACCUGAGUUGUAACUUAUCUGAUCCCAUGCAUGGGAUUAUUAUGAUCAAGAAGAAUAUAGGCUGAGAUGAAUACUGCAAUUUGACUGCAAGACUACGUACCCUUUUAGGUAUUUAUCUAUUCUUUGAACUGCUGUCUGAAAAUGCGUGUCUUUCUCUCCUUUUGUAAUAAAACUGAAAUUCUAACAGUGGUUCUGCA